UGAUACCCUGGUAGUCCACGCUGUAAACGAUGUCGACUUGGAGGUUGUGCCCUUGAGGCGUGGCUUCCGGAGCUAACGCGUUAAGUCGACCGCCUGGGGAGUACGGCCGCAAGGUUAAAACUCAAAUGAAUUGACGGGGGCCCGCACAAGCGGUGGAGCAUGUGGUUUAAUUCGAUGCAACGCGAAGAACCUUACCUGGCCUUGACAUCCACGGAAUUUAGCAGAGAUGCUUUAGUGCCUUCGGGAACCGUGAGACAGGUGCUGCAUGGCUGUCGUCAGCUCGUGUUGUGAAAUGUUGGGUUAAGUCCCGCAACGAGCGCAACCCUUAUCCUUUGUUGCCAGCGAUUCGGUCGGGAACUCAAAGGAGACUGCCGGUGAUAAACCGGAGGAAGGUGGGGAUGACGUCAAGUCAUCAUGGCCCUUACGGCCAGGGCUACACACGUGCUACAAUGGCGCAUACAAAGAGAAGCGACCUCGCGAGAGCAAGCGGACCUCAUAAAGUGCGUCGUAGUCCGGAUCGGAGUCUGCAACUCGACUCCGUGAAGUCGGAAUCGCUAGUAAUCGUAGAUCAGAAUGCUACGGUGAAUACGUUCCCGGGCCUUGUACACACCGCCCGUCACACCAUGGGAGUGGGUUGCAAAAGAAGUAGGUAGC
rnacentral:rRNA from 1 species